rnacentral:rRNA from 1 species
UACGUAGGGGGCUAGCGUUAUCCGGAAUUACUGGGCGUAAAGGGUGCGUAGGCGGUCUUUCAAGCCAGAAGUGAAAGGCUACGGCUCAACCGUAGUAAGCUUUUGGAACUGUAAGACUUGAGUGCAGGAGAGGAGAAUGGAAUUCCUAGUGUAGCGGUGAAGUGCGUAGAGAUUAGGAAGAACACCAGUGGCGAAGGCGAUUCUCUGGACUGUAACUGACGCUGAGGCUCGAAAGCGUGGGGAACAAACAGGAUUAGAUACCCCGGUAGUCCCUGAG